AGAGCGAACGCUGGCGGCAGGCCUAACACAUGCAAGUCGAGCGCCCCGCAAGGGGAGCGGCAGACGGGAGAGUAACACGUGGGAACGUACCCUUUGGUUCGGAACAACACAGGGAAACUUGUGCUAAUACCGGAUAAGCCCUUACGGGGAAAGAUUUAUCGCCAAAGGAUCGGCCCGCGUCUGAUUAGCUUGUUGGUGAGGUAACGGCUCACCAAGGCUACGAUCAGUAGCUGGUCUGAGGGGAUGAUCAGCCUCACUGGGACUGAGACACGGCCCAGACUCCUACGGGAGGCAGCAGUGGGGAAUAUUGGACAAUGGGCGCAAGCCUGAUCCAGCCAUGCCGCGUGGAUGAUGAAGGCCCUAGGGUUGUAAAGUCCUUUCGACGGGGAAGAUAAUGACGGUACCGUAGAAGAAGCCCGGCUAACUUCGUGCCAGCAGCCGC
rnacentral:rRNA from 1 species